ACAUGCGAUCAUACCCGCACUAAUGCACUGGAUUCCAUUAGAACUCCGCAGUUAAGGGUGCUUGGGCUAGAGUAGUACUAGGAUUGAUUACCUCCCGGAAAGUCCUCGUGUUGCAUCCC
rnacentral:rRNA from 1 species